UACGGGGGGAGCAAGCGUUGUUCGGAUUUACUGGGCGUAAAGGGCGCGUAGGCGGUCAGCACAAGUCAGUUGUGAAAUCUCCGGGCUUAACUCGGAAAGGUCAACUGAUACUGUGCGACUAGAGUGCAGAAGGGGCAACUGGAAUUCUCGGUGUAGCGGUGAAAUGCGUAGAUAUUGGGAGGAACACCAGUGGCGAAGGCGGCUACCUGGACCGGUUCUGACGCUGAGGCGCGAAAGCGUGGGUAGCAAACAGG
rnacentral:rRNA from 1 species